UGUGUGUUGUGUGUGUGUGUGUGUGUGUGUGUGUGUGUGUGUGUGUGUGUGUGUUUUACAAAUGUGUUACCAUACACACACACACACACACACACAUAUAUGUAUAUGUGUGUCUGGGUCUUUGUGUGUGUGUGUUUGUAUACACACAUACACACACACACACAUACACAUACACAUACACAU